GGAUGUGAGGGCGAUCUGGCUGCGACAUCUGUCACCCCAUUGAUAGCCAGGGUUGAUUCGGCUGAUCUGGCUGGCUAGGCGGGUGUCCCCUUCCUCCCUCACCAUUCCAUGUGUGACCCUCCCGAAGCUGCGAGCUCAAUCAAAGAGGACGACCUUCCCCGAUAGAGGCAUACCGUUCUUUGGUCAAGGGUAUACGAGUAGCUGUGCUCCCCUGCUAGAACAAGCUCCCAAGGUCCAAUAAUGUUAUUUUAUAACUUUUUCUCUUGAUUCUACUAUUCAACACUUCACACAAGUCUGAGUAUUU
rnacentral:snRNA from 1 species